rnacentral:lncRNA from 1 species
CUUCCUCUCGCUCCCUCUCUCCCUCCAUGUAUCUCAAUAUCCUUCCCUAUUCAACCCAAAUUUGUCGAUAUUGCAUGGCAUCAUUAUCAUCUUCUAGUAGUUCAAGAUGGUUUCAUAGGAGAAGACGAUAUAUGAAGAAGAGGAUGUGCCAUUAAUAGUGUGCUAUUGCAACAUUCAUGCUAAAAUCUAUAUAUCAUGAAAAGAAUCCAACCUAGGCAGGAGGUUUUCUGAAUGCACCAAUUGCAAGGUAUGGAAAUAUUGAAAUUAAUUGUUGUUUCAUUAUUAAUGCAAGUGCUAUUAAAAGUUGGAGUUUGGUUUUCAUUUGUUAGGAUGGAACCCUAAAAGAAAUGAGAUGGGAAGUAGGGAAGAGAGAAAGAAGAGAGAAAGAGACAUUGAUAGGGAGAGAUGAUUCUCGAUUAUUCUCAGAUGAUUCUCAAGAGUACAACUAAACAAUAUUUAUACAAUAGGUAAGCAUUUCUAACUAAUUCAAUAGUCUCUAGCUACCCUUUAUCGCCAAUUUACCAUACUUAAUUUGGUAACUGUUCUAUUCCUCUCUUUUUUUUAAUAUACAUUUUUUUC